rnacentral:lncRNA from 1 species
AAUACAUUCUAACUAAAUCCACACAUUGAAAGAGAAUGUAAGAAUGAAGCCCGAAAUUUUGUCGGAGUUAGAAUUCAUACCUUGCUUGGCAAGUUGGAAGCUUGAUGUGUGUCAAUAUCCACGCACUAGUGUGAGGAGUGUGUGUAGUGCAAUUUUGGGGUGUAUGCAAUUAAGUGUGUGCAGUGAAUUAGGUGCAAGUGUGAUGGUGAAAAUGAGUGUGCAAGUGAAGAGUGAGAGGUGGAGUGUGUGCG